GGUGUGACUGCGUACCUUUUGUAUAAUGGGUCAGCGACUUAUAUUCUGUAGCAAGGUUAACCGUAUAGGGGAGCCGGAGGGAAACCGAGUCUUAACCGGGCGUUAAGUUGCAGGGUAUAGACCCGAAACCCGGUGAUCUAGCCAUGGGCAGGUUGAAGGUUGGGUAACACUAACUGGAGGACCGAACCGACUAAUGUUGAAAAAUUAGCGGAUGACCUGUGGCUGGGGGUGAAAGGCCAAUCAAACCGGGAGAUAGCUGGUUCUCCCCGAAAGCUAUUUAGGUAGCGCCUCGUGAAUUCAUCUCCGGGGGUAGAGCACUGUUUCGGCUAGGGGGCCAUCCCGGCUUACCAACCCGAUGCAAACUGCGAAUACCGGAGAAUGUUAUCACGGGAGACACACGGCGGGUGCUAACGUCCGUCGUGAAGAGGGAAACAACCCAGACCGCCAGCUAAGGUCCCAAAGUCAUGGUUAAGUGGGAAACGAUGUGGGAAGGCCCAGACAGCCAGGAUGUUGGCUUAGAAGCAGCCAUCAUUUAAAGAAAGCGUAAUAGCUCACUGGUCGAGUCGGCCUGCGCGGAAGAUGUAACGGGGCUAAACCAUGCACCGAAGCUGCGGCAGCGAACGUAUCACCCAAGACAACUUUACGGAGUUGACGAUUGACGGAGCGAAGCGACGUCAAAGCGUUCAUUAAAGUCGAGUUGGCUUAGGGAUACGUUCGUUGGGUAGGGGAGCGUUCUGUAAGCCUGUGAAGGUGUGUCGUGAGGCAUGCUGGAGGUAUCAGAAGUGCGAAUGCUGACAUAAGUAACGAUAAAGCGGGUGAAAAGCCCGCUCGCCGGAAGACCAAGGGUUCCUGUCCAACGUUAAUCGGGGCAGGGUGAGUCGACCCCUAAGGCGAGGCCGAAAGGCGUAGUCGAUGGGAAACGGGUUAAUAUUCCCGUACUUGGUGUUACUGCGAAGGGGGGACGGAGAAGGCUAUGUUGGCCGGGCGACGGUUGUCCCGGUUUAAGCGUGUAGGUGUGUGUUCCAGGUAAAUCCGGUUCACUUUAACACUGAGGCGUGACGACGAGGCACUACGGUGCUGAAGCAACAAAUGCCCUGCUUCCAGGAAAAGCCUCUAAGCAUCAGGUAACACGAAAUCGUACCCCAAACCGACACAGGUGGUCAGGUAGAGAAUACCAAGGCGCUUGAGAGAACUCGGGUGAAGGAACUAGGCAAAAUGGUGCCGUAACUUCGGGAGAAGGCACGCUGACACGUAGGUGAAGUGAUUUACUCAUGGAGCUGAAGUCAGUCGAAGAUACCAGCUGGCUGCAACUGUUUAUUAAAAACACAGCACUGUGCAAACACGAAAGUGGACGUAUACGGUGUGACGCCUGCCCGGUGCCGGAA
rnacentral:rRNA from 1 species